UUGGGACAUACUAUUUUUCAAUGUUGGAAAUUACAUGGUCUUCCGCGACCUUCAAAUCAGAAGAACAAAGGUGGAGGUGAGGGUCAUACAUUCCAAGCCAGUAAUUCUGAUCAAGAGCAUCAGNNNNNCAAAAUUCUUGAAUCUAACACUCUUUUUGGCUCUGUUGCCCCCAAAGGUACUUCUGCCCUUUUUAGUGUCAGUCCCAGUCGUGCUUGGAUAGUAGAUUCGGGUGCAAGUGAUCACAUGACAGGUGAUUCUACUCUGUUUUCUUCUUAUAGUC
rnacentral:lncRNA from 1 species